rnacentral:rRNA from 1 species
UACGGAGGGUGCAAGCGUUAAUCGGAAUUACUGGGCGUAAAGCGCGCGAGGUGGUUUGAUAAGCGAGAUGUGAAAAGCCCCCGGGCUUAACCUGGGAACGGCAUUUCGAACUGUCAGGCUAGAGUAUGGUAGAGGAGUGUGGAAUUUCCUGUGUUAGCGGUGAAAAUGCGUAGAUAUAGGAAGGAACACCAGUGGCGAAGGCGGCACUCUGGACCCAAUACUGACACUGAGGUGCGAAAAGCGUGGGGAGCAAACAGGAUUAGAUACCCCCCGUAGUCC